UCAUUUUGUUUUAGCAUCAUCAAAUGUAACAUGGAUGGUAAAUUUUAUUGUCAUUCCACUUUUGGCAUGUUGCACGAGGACUCUUCAAUCUGCAGAGUUGGAAGGUAAUUGCACUCGCAGAGUGGAGACUCGCGUGAUGAACUUCAAACGCUCCUAGUUGCAAUCUCUUCCUGCAGAGUUGAAGUCUUCUUUCUCUUUUUCACUCUUUCUGCUCGCCUCGCAGCCGUCGCCGGUUUCAAUCGCGGGAAGAGGAGAGAUGGAAUUGAAAAGUGAAAUCCUAGCAGCAGGAGAACAUAUCUGACAACUUUUAGACGGCAUGCGACAACCAAGCCUACAUGAUUACAAGACAUUCAUCAAAUAUUUAUUUUAGUUAAUAAUAUAACUGAAACCUAUCUUUGAGCUAUUACUGGUUAAGAGAAGCAAGUGGUCGAGCACUAAUCCAGCCUUCCAUGUCACCGUGCCAAGUCGGUCCCGCGCACAAAUUAAUUUCCCAUCCACCGUGUGGGC
rnacentral:lncRNA from 1 species